AAAGCAAACGAGCGAAGUGUAUCAUGUUGCAGUGACUUUAUUUCAAAUUCUAAUCAAUAUAUGCGUGUUAUAAGUUGUCAAUCGAUUCAAAUGUCUGUUUUAAACGUAUUAUAUAUAUUUGGUUUUUUUACACUUUGCUUAUGUUAUAAAAUUGAGCAAAUUGACAUAAAAACUACAAAUGCAAAGGUGUUUUCGGGAAAGGAAGAUUCUAUGUUUGGCUACAGUUUGACUUUACACAGUGGAAAGGUUUCUCCUGGACGGGAUUUUUCAGGCCAACCAACGACUCGCCCAAUAAUGAACUUGGACGUUUCAUUGACUUUAAGCAGGAAGGAGAUACUUGUGGAAAAUUAUACCGUAUUCUGUCCCAACAGUUCUAUACAAUGUUUGGAUGUUACAGUGUGUUUCCAAUACAUCGGCAAAAGUGUCUCUGGUCCUUAUGAAAUUCAAUACCAGUUCGAUUUGGAUUAUCAAACAUUGCAAAAUUUUAAUAAGAGAGUGUAUUUUAAUGAAUCAGAAAUGUAAUUUACUCCAAGCGUGAUAAAAUAAGACUUCCAGGCAAGAAUGUUACGUCGUGUGUGGAAUUCACUCAGAUUCAUGUUGAAGAAAACAAUCUUGUGGACCGAUUGAGGCUUGGAGCCAACAGCAUCGGUUUCAAAAUAAAUUACAGUCUAAUUUUACCACCAAACUGCGAAAAUACGACUUUAUGUCCGAUUUUGGAUACAAGUAAAGGCUCUGUUAGAACGGAACAGGCUACCAUUAUUGUGAAUUGUACUGACAACGAAUGCAAUUAUGAUCUCAAAACGACAGUAAGUGUUGAUGAAAAUGAAAUAAUUAUUGGUGAAACCAAUUCCAGAAAAGUGACUGUUGAACUCAGCAGUUCUGGCGAAGUUGCGUACAAUCCUACCAUUGCAUUAACUCAUGACCCGUCAUUACAGUAUGAAGAUUUCGAUGUAUCCGAUAGAUCGUUCAGAAUUGUGCCAGAUGCAACACUAAGUAGACCUGAUUACGAUUUGUUUCAACUUCAAGGACCCCUUGAUCCAAAUCAAAAGGUGACACUGGAAAUUACAUACUCGACCACCGCUGUACUUGGUAAAAA